rnacentral:rRNA from 1 species
GAGUUUGUAUCCUGGCUCAGGAUGAACGCUAGCUACAGGCUUAACACAUGCAAGUCGAGGGGAAACGACAUCGAAAGCUUGCUUUUGAUGGGCGUCGACCGGCGCACGGGUGAGUAACGCGUAUCCAACCUGCCCACCACUUGGGGAUAACCUUGCGAAAGUAAGACUAAUACCCAAUGACGUCUCUAGAAGACAUCUGAAAGGGAUUAAAGAUUUAUCGGUGAUGGAUGGGGAUGCGUCUGAUUAGCUUGUUGGCGGGGUAACGGCCCACCAAGGCUACGAUCAGUAGGGGUUCUGAGAGGAAGGUCCCCCACAUUGGAACUGAGACACGGUCCAACUCCGUACGGGAGGCA